rnacentral:rRNA from 1 species
CCUACGGGGGGCAGCAGUGAGGAAUAUUGCACAAUGGGCGGAAGCCUGAACCAGCCAAGUCGCGUGCAGGAUGACGGCCCUACGGAUUGUAAACUUCUUUUGUCAAGGGAUAACACGCGUCACGUGUGCGUCUUUGCAUGUACCUUAUGAAUAAGGACCGGCUAACUCCGUGCCAGUAGCCGCGGUAAUACGGAGGGUACGGGCGUUAUCCGGAUUUAUUGGGUUUAAAGGGAGCGUAGGCCGGAUGUUAAGCUGGCGGUUAAAUGUCCGGGCUCAACCCCGGCCUUGCCGUGCAAACUGGCGGGCUUGAGGACGCGGAAGGCAGGCGGAAUGCGUAGUGUAGCGGUGAAAUGCUUAGAUAUGACGAAGAACCCCGAUUGCGAAGGCAGCUUACUGAAGGGGAACUGACGCUGAGGCUCGAAAGCGCGGGUAUCGAACAGGAUUAGAUACCCGUGUAGUC